ACUAUUACAUACACAUACAUGUGCGCAUUAACGUGAGCACCUUAUAACUAAGUAUUUACAACAACUGAAAUAUCUAAUUUUUUUGGAAGUUAAAAUAUUCUUUUUCUUAAUGCUUCUUUCAUUAUCGACCAAAUUGUAGUAAAAUGAUUUGUCUUAAUAUUUUUUUUUUAACUAUUAUCAGUUUAGAAACUAUAAUAUGAAACUAUUGGUUCGAGAUCACGACUAUCUAAGAUUUAAUACAUGAAAACAAACAAAUAAUAGUAAUUUUUGAUUAUCACAGGAAAAAGAACCAAAAACAUCAAAUAUUUUAACCGAACAAACCAAAUAAAUAUUGAUUUAAAAUGAUAGUUAUUUUUUAGGAGAUUAAAAACCAAAAAACAACCUAAAAUCGGACCGAUAUCCAGAUUAAACAAAUUAAUGUCUCUUUAUUAAAAAAUAACGAAACUAAUAAUCACAUUCCGCGCAAGGCGCGGGUUAUUACCUAGUUGAUAAGGUAAAGAGAGAAAUGUAAAUCCUUACAUAGAGUAUGUGCCGGGUUUGGCAUGUGCCAAAGGUGCCCAAGCCUAAGUCAACAUAUAGUUUUAGCAAAUUUUAAUUAGAUUUAAGUCAGUUUUUUUUUUUAAAUAAGAGCCUAUUUGCAAAAUACUUAAUAUACUUACAAAAUCAGAACAUAUUACAAAGUCCAUUUAGUUCAUGAGUGGUGCACGAAAAAAUUGGUAUCAUCAUCAUGUUCUUAAGAGUUUAAAUAUAGUAGAACAUUCAGAAUUUAGACUUUUUCUUUGUAUCUCCAUUUCUGCCGCCGAACAUGUACAAACUUUUUUCUUUUCUGUCCAGUGAACAAUUAAUUAAAAUCCUCCCGAGUCUCCUAUAUAAAUAUGUUAAAAGCAACACUUCAUUUAUCAAAAUCAUCUUUUACUGAAAAAGAAUAAAAAUCUAAAACAAUGAAAUUUUCAUUCUCUCUAUCUAAACGAUUUGUUUUCUUUAUUUUGGCAUUGCCUUUCCUCAGCAUACAUAGUGUUUCGUCACUGAACCUUACCAAUGAGUAUCUCAACCACAGAUGCCUCUUUGAUCAAGGGAAAUAUAGAUCAGGGAGUAAGUACGAAGAAAACCUCAACCACGCCUUCCACAUCAUGCGUGAUGAAACUCAUGCUGAGACUGGUUUCACACACACAAGUAUAGGAACACCUCCUGAUUCUGUCACCGUCAUGCUCCAGUGCCGUGGUGACACCUAUGGGUCUAAAUGCCAUACAUGCUCCGACACCGCACUCGCGGGGUUUCGUAAGAGAUGUCCGAGGAACAAAGGAGGAAUAAUAUGGUACGACCAAUGUUUUCUCUAUAUUAGUACGAUCGGUGAAGAAACUCCAUAUAGGAUUAACUACAAGGAUAUUUUUUCUAUGCACAACCACAAUAACGUGAGAGGGGAUGUUAAAAUUUUCACCAAGAGAGCGAUGGAUUUUUUCUCUGAACUAAUACUUAAAGUAGAGAAACACGUCUAUGAUGGCCUCGGCCUCAUAUUUUACGCGGCAGGAGAAAAGAAGCUUGGAAAAAAUAAAUUAUAUGCAAUGGUGCAGUGUAUAGGACUAACAUUAGAUUGUAAAAGCUGUUUGACAUGGAGUAUCAAGAAGCUUUUUGAGAACGGAAAUAUUAAACAAGGAGCGAGAGUUUUGGGUACAAACUGUGAUGUAAGGUAUGAGUUAUACCCUUUUCUUAGAAGUUAAAGCAUUGUUGUGGAUGUGAUAAAUACAUCCUCCUCAUAAUUUUUAAUUUUUUUUAACACCAAAUUGAUUAAUAAAGAUUGAUGUCUAGUACAAUGAGACAAAAUGUAUAGCAUUCUUUGCUAGAGCAUCAGCUAAAGUGUUCUGAGCUCGAGGAAUGAAAGAAAAAUAGUGAAUUUGAAAAACAUGGAUAGAAACUCGAUAUCAGUAAGAACUUCGUAAAACUCCACCGGAUUGGACUUCGAGUUAAUAUCUUGGACGAGUUCUUGAGAGUUGGAUCGAAACCAUACUUUGGAGAGAAGACGUAGCUUUGCCGACAUGAUAGCUUCACACAUAGCAAGUGCUUCAGCCAUUAAAGGUGAUAAAACUGAGAGAACGCACUUGGUUUCACGAACUAUUGAAUCCGGUAAAUGCUGGUAGAUGAUCCAUCGUAGUCCUGCUGUUCCGGAUUCUUUGGACAAUGCUGCAUCUGUGUUUUAGAUCUAAGUGCGAGGAGGUAGCGGAACAAGUACAUCCUAGUCCCGCUGUUCCUGAUUCUUUGGACCAUGCUGCAUCUGUGUUUCAGAUCCAAGUGAGAGGAGGUAGGAGAACAAGUACAUCAGAUGGGAUACCGUUCCCACACAGGUUCAGAGUACCCAGCUACGCCAGCUGCCAUUCCCGGGCUGCCGAUAGAGUAUUGGAGAUGGUGGUACCUGUAGCAAUAUGACAGUUUUCGAAGACCAGUUGGUUUCACAUGGUCCAAAGGAACCAGCAGAUCCAUGAAGAUAGGUCCACAAGAAGACCCGUAUGUUGUAGGCAUAUCAAGAAGAGAGGAGAUAAAGAAAGAGAGUGUAUUGAAACUCUAAGGUGAUGAAUUAUAGGUUGAUGAAGCUUGCAGAGCCAAAUUUAGGGAGAUGCAAGAGGUGGCGUCAAAGAAGUGCUUAUAUGGCACUAUGGUCCACACCUGAAGAACGAAAGGACAGUGGAAGAAGAGAUGAAGAGUGGUUCCGGGUGCUCUACAAUGGAGGCAGUUUGAUGAUGUAGUCAGGACUCAAAGAGAGAGGUUGGCACCAACGAAAGAGCUCCACGAAGCAUCUUCCACAGGAAGAGCUCCACGAAGCAUCUUCCACAGGAAGAGCUUCAGUUUUGAUGUUGUGGUGACAGACCAAAGAGAUUUAUACCAGUCCAUAGCGACAGCAAGUGAUGGAUCCAAAAGGGAAUGUUCAUGCAUAUCAUUCAAUGCCAAAUACCCAGAUUUCACAUAAUAAAUUCCAGAAUUUGUGCCAUACCAGCAGUAGGAAUCUUCAGCUCCCAUUAGACUUGGGGUAAUAUGCAUGAUUUGAGUGGUGAUGUCAAGAAAAAAAUCCUCCAUUUAGCAAGAAGAAUCCUGGGUUAGGAGAUCGGCAACUAUCAUAUCUUGAUUCUGCUCUCUACAAGGUCCGAAUGGGCGGAGUUGAGACUUCGUUGGAUAUCCAGGCUUCUUUCCACAAAUUUGUGGAGAUACCAUUGCCAAUAGCAUUUCCCAAUCUUCACACCAGUAGAUCCGGGCGAAAUAAAAUUCCCCUCCAACCCUAAGAGGCUGACGAUGAACAGUUAACUGAGCAAAAAUGUGCAUUUUUUGCAGUACGUCCGAGUAGAAUGCGAGCUAACAGACAGCCUAGUCGUGUUAGGAUGCACCAUGAAGUGUCUCGCUAAUUUGAUGCUCGUCAUCAAGCCGCUUUCUUGGGCUCUACGACAAAGUCCUAAGAGUACUUCUCCUUGUCUGAUUCCUUGUUGAAGGAUGACGUUGCCAAACACAUAGUCAUUAACCAGGAAGGCAUACGAAAGCAUAGUGAUAUUUAUUUUAAACAAUGAUUUUCAACUGGCUUGGAAUUCUUGAGGCUAUUACCCAACAAACGUAUGUUUAAUCCUCAGUGUCAGAUAGCUUUCCUUUUAACUACUUCAGCCGAUUGCUGAUAUGAUUAUGAAUGAUGUUUCCUAACUCUCCUACUGAGUGAUGAUGCUGCUGGUUCUUACUGUCAUUACAUUUUCUCCCGAUCUUGUAUAUGAUUUCUUGAAGAAUGAGUUUGAGAAGCACCAAUGCAUGCUCUUGUAACUCAAACCUUUUAUUGUACUUAGCAUGAUCUUCCAAUCCGAGUUUACCUUCUCUCAUCAGCAUCGAGCAGAACAUGUCCGAUAAUUUACAUGAAUUCAGUUAUGUUGAAAACCUUAAACUAAGUUGAAUAUUAAAAAUUGAGGAUCAUAAGUGACACAUGUCAUCAUCUAAAUCAUUGUGUUAUAAACAAUGACAUGUGUUGCAUCGGAAUUGAAAUUGAGUAUCAUAAUUGACCUUUUAAGGCUGUGUUCGUUUUUGUAUUUGGUCCAGCAUAUGGAUGUAGCAUCUGAAUACAACAUCUAGAUAUUGCAUCUAGAUGUUGUUUGUUUUUAUAGUUAGUAUUUGCAGCUAGAUGCAACAUCUAGAUGUUAAGUUGUUUAUUCUCGAUUUCAUAAUAACUUUUUAAUACUAGUAGUUAAAAUGAUUAAAAUGGCAUGAUCUUUAUUUUUAGUAAUGACUAAUUAUAAUAUUCAAAUAAAUUAUACAGAUAUUGAUGGAAAAUUAAUUUUGCGAUUUUAGGAAAACAUACAAUUUACGAUUUUCACGGGACAGUACGAUUUUACCGGUGUUGGCGGGAAAUGCAUUUUUCGGGUUUAGGGGGGGGACCUAAUCUUUGGGUUUCAUUUCGGCGGGAAAAUUGUUUUUGCGGAUUUCGGUGGGAAAACACAAUUCUUUCGCAUUUUUGGCGGAAAACGCGUUUUUGGGGUUUGGAGAGAAACUGGGGGUGAUUGGUUGGGUUGUAGGAAGUGGUUUUAGCUUUAAUUUUCAUCUACAACCUUAAUUACUACCAAUCAUGCUUUAUCUUGGUUUUUAAAGGUAUAACCAAAAAAUUAAAGUUACAGCAAAAACACACAAAAAAUAGUUGUAAAAGUCUUAUUUUCUAAAGCUUCAUUUUUUUAGCUGUAGGAAAUUUUAAAUCUACAUCACUUAAAACUAAAUCAAAAAUCCUACAGACAAAAUGCUAAAGUAAAUUUUCUACAGUUACAACCCAACCAAUCACCCCCACUGUGUUAUGGAUUUUGGAAGAAAACACGUUUUUUGGGUUUUUAGUGGGAAAGCAUGUUUUCAGGUUUUGGUGGGAAUAUUUUCCGGGGUUCGGCGAGGAAACCCCUUUUUUUUGGGUUUCGGCGAGAAAACGCGUUUUUCGGAUUUCAUUGGAAAAACGCUAUUUCGGGUUUUGGCAGGAAAACACGUUUUUUGGGUUUUGGCAGAAAAAAAACACGUUUUCAGAUUUCAUAAUUAUAAUAACUAAUUUAAUUAAUUUUUAUAUUGUGCUAGAUCUUUUAUAUUUUAAAAUGCAAAUGUAGCAUCCAAGUUCUACUUUUUCUGACAUCUCAAAUAUAUAUAUAUUGCAUCUAGAUGCUAAUGAAAUAGUGUAUAAAUGAACAACAUCAGCCUUUGGGAUACAGAAACAAACAUGGACUAAAUUUUACAAUACCAAAAAAAGACUUUCUCCUGCGAUUAAUCUUCCCUUUGUUAUACACGGCAAUCCGCAUCUUUUUCGUCACUGUUGCCAAAUCAAAAUCCACACAAUCAGCCGUUGCAGAGUCUUGAAAAUGGUCAUCUUCUACCGGCUCAACUCCUCCCGAUGUAAUGGCUCUUUCAUUCACUGUUGCUCCCUAUCUCGCGUUACGCUUCGAUGAAGUUGUUCCCGGAGGCAGUCAGACGAAAACUGGUAUUCAGGCUGCUUCACUUUGAGGAUCUUAUAAACCGCUAAAAGUAGGGAUUCUGAUACGCCUCGAGCUGCUGAUUCGUGACAAAAUAAUUACAAGGUGUGUGUUAAACUACAUACUCACCUUCUCAACUCCACACACACAAUGGUUCCUGUCUUAAUUAUGUAGUUUAACACACACCUAAUGUCAACAACAUGCAUCAAUUAUUCAAGGAUUCAUAGCUCUGUCUCUUGAUUGCCUGUAUGCCAGUCUAACUCUCGUUGUGUAUUGUCUUUGUGUUUUCAGCUGUAUUUGCAAGCCGUUAUUGUUUAUGGAUUCCCUCACCAAAGGUAUAAUUUUUUUUCUCUGCCCCACCGUUUCAGCAGUUUUUAAAGUUUGAACAGUUCUGUCUACUUUUGGAUUUUUAUUUUUUUGGUUUCGUACUUAGGUUUGGUCCUUUUGCAUGUUUAAAAGAAAAUAAAUGCUCAUAAGAGACUGAGAGUAGUCCACAUCAUAGAAUCCACCAAUGGGGGUGCAGAUAUACAGAUAAUGAAAGUUGAUGUUUAUGAAGAAAAGUUGGUUAGUUCUUCAAAUUCUGAAGACCAAAGGUAACACUGAUCUGUGAUUUUGACAUCGCCUCUGCUAUGUCAGUGUUCUCUUCCCAUAGCGAGCACUGAUGUAUGUCAGUAACAACUACGCACCACUGGAGUUAAAACAAUUCUCACACAGGAAACACACCCAACCAUCAGAGCUAACAGGAUCAUGUAAAGUAUUUUGAAGUGAGUGAAACUCCAAUAUAUGGAGAAGAAAAACAAAUGGAGCUGUCAGAUCAAAGCAGCGAAACCUCUCCAUGUGUGUACCUGUGCAGAAGCUUUAUAGAGAAGGAACUUAGCGAAAAUUUAAGUUCCGUUUUGGAGAUGUUUCUAUAUUGUGGCUUCCAGGUAGUGUUGCUUCUUACCUGAAUGUGAAGAAAGAUGGAGGUGCUAAAAACCAAAUCCACCUCUAUGGUAUUUUUUUUCGUUCUAUGAAACAUAGUUUUGUGGCUUAGUUAAUCGGUCUUUCUAUUCACACCAUGCAGAAACAUUCCGUUCCAGAUGUAUUCUAUUAAAGGAAUAGACUGGAUUGCUUCAGGCAUAUGUGAGCCUAUGUUAACUAGUAAACCAUGGCUUGAUCCGAGUUUAAUGGGAGAGGCAAAAAUUCUAGUGGAAGUAAAGCAAGAUAAGUCGUUCCCUCGGAAGUUAGCUCUAGAAGAUCAGAGUGGUUCUAUGUCAAUGGUGAAGAUGUAAGUUCCUACGGUGCUUUGAUAUAGUUUGUGAUGUACUACAAGACAUGUGUCAACAAGUAUGUCAAAACGUUGAGUUCCGAAGAUGCUUACAAGGAAGUUUCCUUACAUAGAUUAUGUGUGUAAGUGGAGGUUGGAAAAUGAAAGAGAAUAUCUUGUUGAAGAUAAAUGACGUUUUCUGCUAAGCUAAAUGGUUUUUCUUGGAGAGAAAAUUUUACUUGCAAAGGAAAAGGAAGUUUCCUUACAUGAAAAUGAAAGUUCAUUAAAGUGUAUUUAAUGAACUUUGAGAGCAAGUUUAAAGUUUAUUAUAUAAGGAGGGACAUGCCUUAUGAGAAGACAAUCACCAAGAAUUUAAAGAGAAAGAGAGUUUUCAUUGUGUUCUUGUUGAGUGUUGACAUUGAGUUGACAUAGUGUCUGACGAGUAUCCGUUGUACUUGGUGUUGUGAUGUUGGUGUUGAUGUUGCGUGUGGCGGAGUUAUCCGUUGUGUUGAGGUGAUCAAGUUGUGCGUUGAUGUGCUCGUUGGUAUCCUUGGUGUGUUAGGUGUUAACGUACUCAGUGACGUACUUGGUGAAGUACUUGGUGACGUAUCUUCAAAAAAUUGGAGGUUGAAGUCUAGACUCAGGAGGAGUUUAGUUCAGAGUUAAGUUAUCUUGAUAAAGUCUGAACUCUGGAGGAGUUUAGCUCAAAGUGAGAUUGCCUUGAAGAGUUCAUUUUAAUGGAUUAGAAUUUUGGACGAGGUUCCAGGGAUGUUGGAAACAAACCUCUUUAUCAAACUUUGUGUGUCAUUUACUUUCUGAUUUAUAUUUCUCGGCUUAUCUGCAUUUACAAGUGGUUGUUAUUAUGUAUUCUUGGCUUUCUUCAAAGCGUAGUAGUUGUUACCAUCUUGUUCAUAAAGCUUCUCAUUGCCUUGUAUCCCUUAUACAUUGAAGCACAAGUCAAUUUGCCAAUCAAAUUCUGCACAUAAAAAAUAGUUACAAAAUAAAAUUAAUUCAAGAAAAAUAAUAUUUUCUAUCCCAAAAUUUCGGCAACUCUUUUUUUCCAGUUUAUUAUUCUCAAAAUAUUUAGUCAAAUCAUCCAAGUUGUAAGUUAACUGAUCAUGAUCUCAAACUGUUUUCUUUCUUAUAUAAUUUUUAUCUACAAAUUUACUCUCUGUUUUUUCUUUAGUUUUUCAGUUUUUCUCGAUCCUAUCCACUAUCAAAUAAACAAAACAACGGAUCCUUUCAUCUCUCUUAAAUAUCAAUUUGAUCUCAACCAGUUCCUUCAUAUCUUUUUUUUUUUGAACACAUAACACAUUAGAAUUACCAGUUCCUUCAUAUCUACUUUCUUUUUCCUGCACCAAUUCAAAAAAUUGAUUACAUUUUUUUACUGAUUAAUACUUAAAAGUUCAUCAUCAACAAGUUUUUUAGAUUGAUACGGAAGAUUGUGGCCGUCGAGUUUAAAAUCACGCGAAGAGAUUGAUACUGGUACGUGAUGUUGGAGAGAUUCGGAGGAGUGAGAAACUUUAAAGAUUUUGUUGCAGGGUAUGCAGAAUUUGCAGGUAUUAAUGGUGGUAUGUGUAAUGAGUUCAUAUGAAACUUUUUUUUGGCAAAAACAGAGUAAAACAUAUAACAUAAAUAUAUGUAUUGUUCAGUUUUUAAAUAAUUUCAGUUUGUUGUAGUAUGAGAAAUAAGUGAUUUAGGUUUAUUUAAACCUCUGCAAUAAAUAUUGGAUCUGCGAAGAGUCUGGUAAAAUGUUUAUAGAAUAAACUAUUGAAUUAUGCACGGUUGAUAGCAUGCUUCUCGUGAAACAUGGUGGCAGUAAAUGUAGCUUGGAUCGAAGGAAGAAGUUACUUUUUUUACCCGAAUGAUUAGAUUUAAUUAGUUAUUUCCACUGAUCAUGUCCGUUCAUCUGAUUCUGAUGCAAUCAGGCCCCACUCUGUGGUAUGACAAUCAUUAUUUAAUUCCUGGGGUCCAUGGGGCUGAAGUCUUAUGGUAUCGUCCUCUUUACCGAGCUAUCAGGUAAUUACAACUAGAGCUGGAUACCGUUAUUUACUAGCCUUAAACUCGUUACUUGACUCGUAUCCGUCUUAAAAAUUUAAGUACUCAGUGUUGUGAAAGCAAAUAACAAAUCAAAAUUUUUCAUUACUUGUAAGACAAAAUCAAGUAUUAAAUAUCAUUAUUAUUUUUAGUACUUAA